rnacentral:lncRNA from 1 species
CAGACAUAAUCCUUAAGAUAGGAAGGAGGAUUAUGCUGCCUAGUGGACUUUCUAGGAGCAGAAAGAGGGUGUGAAGGAGGUAAAACAGGGGGAGAGAUAUCAUGAUUGAAAGAAGGAAGGGAAGAAGGAGCAGCAUCAUUAAAAUCAGGAACAGGAGAAUCAGAUGUAGGGGAAGGAGGGGAGGAAGCAUGUAUAGGAAAAUCUGUGACAGGGGAAUGUUCAGCAGGAGGAAUAGAAGGAAAAGAUGAAGGAGAAGGGUGAGCAAAAGAAGGUUUAUUCUUAAAAGGAAAACAAGUUUCAUGGAAUACAACAUCCCUGGAGACAAAACACUUCUUGGAAACCAGAUCAUACAGUUUAUAAAAGGGAAAACAAGUUUCAUGGAAUACAACAUCCCUGGAGACAAAACAUUUCUUGGAAACCAGAUCAUACAGUUUAUAACCCUUUUUGGCAAAGGGAUAACGCAGAAAAACACAAGAGAGGGCUCUAGGCUUUAACUUGUCCCUUUGAGGAAUAGGGACAGUAGCAUAAGCAAGGCACCCCAAUGCCCUCAAAUGAGAAUAGGAUGGAGCUUUCCCAUACAAAAGUUCAUGAGGAGACUUAUUCUGAAGAAUUCUGGAAGGUAUUUUGUUAAGAAGAUAAGUGGCAGUCAACAGACAAUCCCCCUAGAAAGACACAGGUAGGCCAGAUUGAAAAAGCAAGGCUCUACAUGUUUCAAGAAGGGUUCUGUGCCUUCUUUCAACAACACCAUUCUAUUGGGGGGAAUGAGGGAAGGAGGUUUGAUGAAUAAUCCCCUGGCUACUAAAAAAAGAUAUGCCCUCAAUGCUAGACCCCAAUUCUAAGGCAUUGUCACUUCUAACAGUUUGAACCACAGUGUUAAACUGAGUUUUAACAAAACAGAUGAAAGACUUAAGCAGGGAAAAAGCAUUGCUUUUAGAUCCCAUUAAGUGUGUCCAGGUUGUCCUAGAAAAAUCAUCAACUAUAGUAAGGAAUU